rnacentral:rRNA from 1 species
GAUGAACGCUGGCGGCGUGCCUAAUACAUGCAAGUCGAGCGAACAGACGGGGAGCUUGCUCCUCUGACGUUAGCGGCGGACGGGUGAGUAACACGUGGAUAACCUACCUAUAAGACUGGGAUAACUUCGGGAAACCGGCGCUAAUACCGGAUAAUAUAUUGAACCGCAUGGUUCAAUAGUGAAAGACGGUUUUGCUGUCACUUAUAGAUGGAUCAGCGCCGCAUUAGCUAGUUGGUAAGGUAACGGCUUACCAAGGCAACGAUGCGUAGCCGACCUGAGAGGGUGAUCGGCCACACUGGAACUGAGACACGGUCCAGACUCCUACGGGAGGCAGCAGUAGGGAAUCUUCCGCAAUGGGCGAAAGCCUGACGGAGCAACGCCGCGUGAGUGAUGAAGGUCUUCGGAUCGUAAAACUCUGUUAUUAGGGAAGAACAAAUGUGUAAGUAACUAUGCACGUCUUGACGGUACCUAAUCAGAAAGCCACGGCUAACUACGUG